rnacentral:rRNA from 1 species
GGUGAGUAACACGUGGAUAACCUACCUAUAAGACUGGGAUAACUUCGGGAAACCGGAGCUAAUACCGAAUAAUAUUUUGAACCGCAUGGUUCAAAAGUGAAAGACGGUCUUGCUGUCACUUAUAGAUGGAUCCGCGCUGCAUUAGCUAGUUGGUAAGGUAACGGCUUACCAAGGCAACGAUGCAUAGCCGACCUGAGAGGGUGAUCGGCCACACUGGAACUGAGACACGGUCCAG